UACGGAGGGUGCAAACGUUGCUCGGAAUCAUUGGGCGUAAAGCGCGCGUAGGCGGCGAAGCAAGUUGGAUGUGAAAUCCCUGGGCUCAACCCAGGAUGUGCAUACAAAACUGCUUCGCUUGAAUCUCGGAGGGGGACAGGGAAUUCCCGGUGUAGAGGUGAAAUUCGUAGAUAUCGGGAGGAACACCAGUGGCGAAGGCGCUGUCCUGGACGAUGAUUGACGCUGAGGCGCGAAAGCGUGGGGAGCAAACAGG
rnacentral:rRNA from 1 species